GGCGACCACCGCUAUUGGAAUCCGCUUAAGACAUGCGAGUUGAGAGGGUUUAGACCCUCGGCAUACUGCUCAGUAACACGCGGACAAUCUGCCCUUCGGUGGGGGAUAAUCUCGGGAAACUGAGCAUAAUACCCCAUAGGCCACGGAUGCUGGAAUGCUUCGUGGCUGAAAGCUCCGGCGCCAAAGGAUGAGUCUGCGGCCUAUCAGGUAGUAGUGGGUGUAACGGACCCACUAGCCAGUGACGGGUACGGGCGUUGGGAGAUGUCGCCCGGAGAUGGAUUCUGAGACACGAAUCCAGGCCCUACGGGGCGCAGCAGUCGCGAAAACUAGUCAAUGCGGGAAACCGCGAACAGGGGAGUCCAAGUGCAUGCGCUAUGCGUAUGCUGUUCGGUUGCCUAAAAACCAGCUGAAGGAAGGGCUGGGUAAGACAGGUGCCAGCCGCCGCGGUAAUACCUGCAGCCCGAGUGGUGGUCGAUAUUAUUGAGCCUAAAGCGUCCGUAGCCGAUCUAGUAAACCCUUGGGUAAAUCGGGCAGCUCAACUGUCCGAAUUCCGAGGGGACUGCUAGAUUUGGGACCGGGAGAGGUCAGAGGUACUCCGGGGGUAGGGGCUAAAUGC
rnacentral:rRNA from 1 species